GCCCGAUCUGGCGUAGUCAGCCUACCUGAGACAUUCACUCGUAAUGAAUAGGUCGUCGGUUCGAUUCCGACAGGCGGCU
rnacentral:tRNA from 1 species